CUCCAACGAGCGCAACCCUGAUCCAGCCAUGCCGCGUGAGUGAUGAAGGCCUUAGGGUUGUAAAGCUCUUUCGUCAGGGAAGAUAAUGACGGUACCUGAAGAAGAAGCCCCGGCUAACUUCGUGCCAGCAGCCGCGGUAAUACGAAGGGGGCUAGCGUUGUUCGGAAUUACUGGGCGUAAAGCGCACGUAGGCGGACAUUUAAGUCAGGGGUGAAAUCCCAGGGCUCAACCCUGGAACUGCCUUUGAUACUGGGUGUCUUGAGUACGAGAGAGGUGAGUGGAAUUCCGAGUGUAGAGGUGAAAUUCGUAGAUAUUCGGAAGAACACCAGUGGCGAAGGCGGCUCACUGGCUCGUAACUGACGCUGAGGUGCGAAAGCGUGGGGAG
rnacentral:rRNA from 1 species